rnacentral:tRNA from 1 species
GACACUGGUGCAAUGGUAGAGCGCCUGACUCCCGAUCAGAAGGGUUGUGUGUUUAAAUCACGUCAGGGUCA